CCUACGGGUGGCUGCAGUGGGGAAUAUUGGGCAAUGGAGGAAACUCUGACGCAGCAACGCCGCGUGCAUGAUGAAGGUCUUCGGUUUGUAAAGUUCUUUUCUAAGGGAAGAAGAUAGUGAUCGUACCUUAGGAAUAAGCCUCGACUAACGACGUGCCAGCAGCCGUGGUAAUACGUAGGAGGCAAGUGUUAUCCGGUAUGACGGGGCGGAAGGGGAGCGUCGGUGGUUUGAUAAGUUUGUAGCGAAACUCCGAGGCUCAACCCCGGCACUACGACCAAUACUGUUGGACUUGAGUGCAGGAGAGGCAACUGGAAUUCCUAGUGUAGCGGUGGAAUGCGUAGAUAUUAGGAGGAACACCAGUGGCGAAGGCGAGUUGCUGGACUGUAACUGACACUGAGGCACGAAAGCGUGGGGAGCAAACAGGAUUAGAUACCCGAGUAGUC
rnacentral:rRNA from 1 species